CACGAAUUUAUAUUUAUCGGGGAACCAAAGUUGUCCAUGUUUGCAUUUUAUUAUUAUUAUAACGGAACAAACAAACCGAAAAUACACUUUGCACCAUGGCGGGAGAGAGGAGACUGUGAGCGCUGUAGGUUUGAAUAGAACACUCUCGUGCCUGUAACGUUGUCGUUAUAAAUUCGAAAACGACAAUGAAUCAUCGUGCGCAAAACUAUAUAAUAACUCUGAGCAAAGCUGAUUUACUGGUCAAUAAAUCACCGUGUAUGUUAAAAACUUAAGUACCUACGUGGGGGAUGUUUUCUCGAGAUUUCUGAUGCUUUCGAGAGCGUUCGGAGUACAUCGUGUUGCACGGACGACUACUGAUAAGACUUUCGUUUUUAGACCGGCCGAAAUAUCCGUACGAUCCAUACCUACAUACCUAUAUAUUAUACUUUUUUAAAUAUAAUAUUUCGGUUUUUUUUUUUUUUUAAUUUUAAAAACAUUGUAUUUUUUGAAUUCUCACUUUUCACGCGAAUGUACACGUAGUUAAUAUAAUUAAUAUAAUGCAUAUAUUAUAUCAGUAAUAACGUGCAUAAGACAAAGUAAUGGAAGAAUAUC